UGGGGAAUAUUUGGACAAUGGGCGCAAGCCUGAUCCAGCCAUGCCGCGUGUGUGAAGAAGGCCUUCGGGUUGUAAAGCACUUUUGUUGGGGAAGAAAGCGUACGGACUAAUACUUCGUGCGGAUGACGGUACCCAAAGAAUAAGCACCGGCUAACUUCGUCCAGCAGCCGCGGUAAU
rnacentral:rRNA from 1 species